UACGUAGGUGGCAAGCGUUGUCCGGAAUUACUGGGUGUAAAGGGAGCGUAGGCGGUUAUGCAAGUUGAAUGUGAAAUCUAUCGGCUCAACUGAUAGGCUGCGUUCAAAACUGUAUAUCUUGAGUGAAGUAGAGGCAGGCGGAAUUCCUAGUGUAGCGGUGAAAUGCGUAAAUAUUAGGAGGAACACCAGUGGCGAAGGCGGCCUGCUGGGCUUUAACUGACGCUGAGGCUCGAAAGCGUGGGUAGCAAACAGG
rnacentral:rRNA from 1 species